GAUGAACGCUGGCGGCGUGCCUAAUACAUGCAAGUCGAGCGAACGGACGAGAAUGUUGCUUCUCUGAUGUUAGCGGCGGACGUGUGACUAACACGUUGAUAACCUACCUAUAAGACUGCGAUAACUUCGUUAAACCGUAGCUAAUUCCUGAUAAUAUUUUGAAUCGCAUUGUUCAAAAGGUAAAGACGGUCUUACUGUCACUUAUAGAUGGUUCCGCGCUGCAUUAGCAAGUUGCUAAGGUAACGGCUUACCAAGGCAACGAUGUAUAGCCGACGGGCGAGGGGGAUCGGCCCCCCCGGACUGGAGACAAGGUCCAGACUACUAUGGGAGGCAGCAGUGGGGAAUCUUCCGUAAAGGGAGAAAGGCUGGCGGGACACAGCCGCGUGACUGAUAAGGGUACUGGGAUCGGAAAACUAUGUUAUUAGGGAACAACAUAUGUGUAAGUAACGGUGCACAUCUUGACGGUACCUAAUCAGAAAGCCACGGCUAACUACGUG
rnacentral:rRNA from 1 species